CUACGUGCCAGCAGCCGCGGUAAUACGUAGGGCGCGAGCGUUGUCCGGAAUUAUUGGGCGUAAAGGGCUUGUAGGCGGUUGGUCGCGUCUGCCGUGAAAUUCUCUGGCUUAACUGGGGGCGUGCGGUGGGUACGGGCUGACUUGAGUGCGGUAGGGGAGACUGGAACUCCUGGUGUAGCGGUGGAAUGCGCAGAUAUCAGGAAGAACACCGGUGGCGAAGGCGGGUCUCUGGGCCGUUACUGACGCUGAGGAGCGAAAGCGUGGGGAGCGAACAGGAUUAGAUACCCUGGUAGUCCACGCUGUAAACGUUGGGCACUAGGUGUGGGGGCCACCCGUGGUUUCUGCGCCGUAGCUAACGCUUUAAGUGCCCCGCCUGGGGAGUACGGCCGCAAGGCUAAAACUCAAAGGAAUUGACGGGGGCCCGCACAAGCGGCGGAGCAUGCGGAUUAAUUCGAUGCAACGCGAAGAACCUUACCKGUCUUGACAU
rnacentral:rRNA from 1 species